rnacentral:tRNA from 2 species
UCCUGGUUAGCUCAGUUGGUAGAGCGCUCCACCUGAGAUGGAGAGGUACCUGGUUCGACACCAGGACCACCAG